CACAGAAGCGUACGGUGCUGUUCUCAAUUUUUUUUUAUUUGUGUGGCAUUAAAAACUCCUUUUAUUAUCUGACAUUGCUUUACUGAGUCCUCCGCUUUUUUUUAAUUAUCAAAAAGUGAUGACCACAAUUCCUGUUACGCGAAGGAGUUUACAGUUCAGUUGAUGUUCUUCUAAUUUCUCCUCGUCACUGCUAGCGGCAACUCAAGAUUCGGAAGACAUCAUACUACAGUCAUCAGUCAGUUUUCAUCUUGCCGCUGGGUGUCUCACUAAGAUCUCCGAGGAUACAUCCAUCGCAGAACUAAGAAUUCAUCUUUCUGUUGUAAACACGAUGUGUUUGUGAUGGACCUCAACUGGGCUAUGGAACAAAACUCAUCGUACUUACAAUUCAAAGUAGUCUUCUUCAGUGAGAUGAAACUGAACAAUCGACAUGACAAGACGGCCCGUAAUAAUUUCAUAGUUAUUUAGACCGAAGAUUUCGGCCUGGCCCAGUUCGUUCUCUGGAUGAGGAAUACGGGCCACCCGGGAAGAUACUUCAAAUGCCGCUAUAAUGGCUAUUCUAUUCAAAAUUUAUUCAAUAUCAAGCUAUUAACUGAUAAAAUAAACAAGAGAAUAUCUACAAAAGUAUAAAUCACAGCAGGGAUGAAGAAGCAGGGAGAGCUGGUCUUGCAAACUGCAUCCUUGCUGUGAAUUACCACGAAACUAAAAUUAACUUAACAUGUAUUUCAACACCUCUAUUUAACUUAAAUGUGUGAAUCUCGGGUCACCAUGAUUUAUAGUAGAGGCAAAACUUAAACAAAACAACGGCCGUGUGGUUUCCGGCAUAGAAUAGACCACCCCACCUCCCGAGGGUGUCGUAAGAGGCGACUAAGGGAAAAAUAAUCCAGCAUUAAUGGUGUAUGAUAAGUACCUUGGAUGAAAAUGGAAACGAAAUGAUGGAAUGAUGAUGAAGAUAGGAGAUGCGGAUAGAACUUAGGAAUCACGGUUUUAAUAAGAUCUUGCCGUUGAAGACCGGCUACUGAGUAGGUGAGCUUGGUGAAAUCGUAAGACUUCAGUACAGGAGCACCGAAAUUGCCUAAUGACUCCUGAAAAUUGUAACAUUCGCGCUCAAGAACGUGUGCUAAAAGUAGGAACAAUGACUUUACGGACGGUGUCAUCCAAGGAAUGUGAAAAGUGUAGUUAAGUUAAAUAAGUAAGUUAAGUAUUUUUAAAUAUUUAAUGUAUCUCUCUAAUAUUCUCUUCCCUAAAAAAACAUAAAAAAAUAAAAAAAAAGACAUAUAAAAAAUUAAAAUCACUUAAAAAAAUGUAGACUACGAUGACGUAGACAGGAUUACGUGUGGGUUUGUCAACAAAAAAAAUAUAAAAUAACAAAAAUUUACAAAAAAAAUAUAGGUAUGUGAAUUAUUUGUAAGUAAGUAUUUAUUACCUAUGCUUAGUGUAAGUUUUUAAGUUAAUUAAUCUUAGCGUUCUAAAAAGGGAAAAUUAAAAAAAAAAACAAACUAAAAAAGCAAAAAACAAAAAAAUACUAGCCUAAAUUAAGUUAAUUUGUGUCAGUAUACAAAAAAGGCCACUAGGCACCAAAAAAAAAUAAAAAUACUAAAAUAACAAAAAAUAUAUAGGUAUAUGUGUGUGAACUACAUAUAAUUAAUAUAAGUAAUUAGUGUAAGUAUUAAAGUAAAUUAAUCUUAUAGCGUUCUAAAAAUGAAAAAAAAAUACAAAACUUUAAAACCACAAAAAAAUUUAGACUAAGAUAAAUAAGUUGAUAUUAGUUAGUAAAAAAAAUAAAAUUAAAAAACUAACAAAAAAAUCGUAAGUAGUUAAAACGAUAAGAUAAAAAAAAACAAAAGCAAACUAAAAAUACAAAAAAAAAUCGCAAAUAGACUUAAAAUGCUAAUUAGUGGCUUAAAAUCGUAAAAUAGUAAUUAGGUAAUAAGUGUAAGUACCUCGAGGAAAACGAUCUACCCCAACAUUACUAAAUAUUAGAUAAUAUUAAUUCGUCGCGCCAGUUUGGGCCUUACUCGUCAUAAAUAGAUAAACUGUGUUUAGUCAACGCAACACUUCCCGAUAUUAAAUACCUCUUAGAAACAUUAAGCUAGCAUAGACACAUGCCUUUCAUUAGAUCUUAAGGUAAAGAAAAACUCCCAAACCACCGGGCAAAGUUAAGGACUUGAGAAAGUCUAACAAAUAACGUGUAUUUUUGUAAUACCUGCACUUCUCAGUUACUUUUAGUUUAGUGCAGUUGACAUCAGUAUUUAAUAUUUUUUUAAAUAUUACAUUAUUCUUAUUAACAUGCUGUCUGAGACAGUGAAGUAGUCUUUUUCGUUAACGUUACCUGGUUUGGCCUCAUUUGCUUUGUAUGUCAACGCCCGCCUGCCUUUGCUACAAAGACAUGAGUUGGGCUUUCAAAAGUGAUGUCAACAAUAUUUUUGGUCUCGUUAACAUUAAUUCAGUUUUCAAAAAGACGAUGAUCCUAGAUGUGCAGGUAUCUACAAAAUAGACCGUGUUGAAACUCAGUAUGUAGUGUAAUCCGUAGGCUAAUUACGACAUACCUCAUUUAGUGAAAAUAGUUGUAGUCAGUGAAAUAGUAUUAUUUUCAUAUUUUUUGUUGGUUUUAAUGUCAACUGUGCAAUAGAAAUGAGUUAUAAGGUCAGCACCUGCAACAUCUGCGGGAAUGCUAUCAAAUUGCCAAUUUUAGGGAAUUCUUUAUUCUCUCCUUGAACUGCAACGCAGCAGUGAUUGGCUUCACAGAUACGCUUAUUAAGUGCUUGCAUAAUGUCAGCAAUAAUUAGGUAUAAUUAUAUUUCGCCUUAGAGACGUACCGUGGCCAGUUAACAACUAAGUGACGAUUCUAGAACAGGGAACUGCUCUAUUACCUCAAAGUCCGCCAGGCCUCGGCUGUCUCAUUAUUGCAGUGACCUCAUAACACAGUGCAUUAUUCUAGUUAAAUAGAAAAGUUUAUAAGUUAAAAGAGAUACAAAUAUUUUUUUCAUUCACGAGCAAAAACCAUAACAAAGCCCAUCUAAAUAAAAAAAUGUAAAAAAAAAUAUAAUAUUAUAUAUAAAAAAAAUUACAAAAAAAUAUAAAAUGUUAAAAAAUACAAAAAAAUAUAUAAAAUCUAGAAAACGACAAAAAAACUGAAAAAAAUAUAAAAAAUAUGUUUAAACAGCCCUAGCCGUUAACACCUGGCGGGCUGCGUGUGCGCAAGAAGCGAGCACGUUUGCUAUCAGGAAAAAGUUGUAGUAGAUGGACGAGUGACGUUCGUGCGGUUUGCUAAGUACUGUCAAAUAAAGUAUAAACUAAACAUACAAAAAAAAUGUAGCUGUAAGACAAAUUAGUUAGUAAGGUUAUUGGUUAAGUACGCCUUUGAACAAAAGACCAAUAAGAUUAAAUUGGGGUUAUUGUACGAAUGGAUAAGGUGCUAACAUCAACGUAGCGAGGAAGUCGAAUGGCUGAUAACCUAGGAAUGGCAAGAACGAUGAGAAAGCUGGGGCUUGCCAACCUGCUGGUCAUAAUAAUUGGUCACAAUUCAUUUAUAACAAAAAAAGGAUUCCUUUGGCAUUAUACAAAAAAAAACAAUAGCAACAAUAAGCUAUGAUUAUUUAAAAUUUAACAUCAAAAAUACAAUUUUUUGGAUUAAUAGAAAUUUAUUAAUAAAAAACUUUUGGGAUAAACAGAAAAAAAUUGAUAUGAAAAGUUGUUGGGAAGCAAAUGUUUCGCAGCUGGAACCUCGGAUCGAGCAAUUGACGUCAAUUUAAUUUUAGAAUGGAACUUCUAUAUACCUAGAUUUGAUUAGCCCUAAGUUUAGAUAAGUAGCAGCAUAAGUAACGUAAGAGUUAGUAAUAAUUGAUACCCAUCUCGGGUCUCAGAAAAAAAUCAACAAAUUAAUCAAUUAUUAAAAAAACCCAGUGAGUGAGAUAUUUAGGCCUUUUUUGCGUAUUUUAUUUUUAACAAAAUUAAAUCAAAAUGCAUUUUAUUCUAAAUUCUACUAUCUGCCUUAUAAACAAGAAUGCCUUAUGCUCGUCAGCAGAUUAAUAAUAAGAAAAUUUUAUUUGGUAAAAGUACAGAUAAUUCAUUGUGUAACCUUUUUUUUCAAGUUGAAUGUUGUUUAUUUAAAAAAAAUGCCUUAUUACCGCAACAGAUAAGAUUAUGAAAAAUACAAAAGUAGAAUAUAAAAGCAACAGAAAGCUCAAUCAAUUACUAAAUUAUUCGUUAUAUUCACAUAUUAUAUUUUGCUAGAGUGCCUGAAUGAAGGAAAGAAAGUAGCUGUAACACUCAUAGGUAAACACGUAUAAUAGCACGGCCCGAACUGCGCGAUGAAAUAUUAAAAAUAGAUAUAAAGUAAGGUAAAACAACACGGAAACAAAAAUCAAAAACCCUGACAAAAAAAAUCUUUGGACUACAAAUAAAAAAUAAAAUAAAAUUCACUUGCAGAAGAAAACGAAUACCCGUAAAAACAACAUCACCUGCACCUAUGGCCUCCGCGUGCACCUAUUUGGAAAUGAAAAGAACGCUUUUGGUCUGACAUUAAAAAAAUACACUUUUGGUCUGAAAUGAACAUCUGCAAGUAGCACAUACUUAUAACAACUGCAAACAUGUCUCAAAAUACGUCACGACGAAGGCCGUAUAAAAAAUUCCACAAGGUGCACCAAUUCUCAUAAUUCAACGAGUCCUUUGUCCACUGCCACAUUACGGUGCACUCCAAUGUCGCUUUUGAGGAAAUAUUUCCUGACAUACACCUCACGGUUGUGGAGCGUCAUUGCAAAAGCCUUUAUUAAAGUGUAAGUACUGAGAAGUCAUCGAGAUGAACUCUCGGUCUCCAACUGUCAACUGACAGUUACCAAGAACAUCUAGACUCUCAGAUUAAUGCUUUGGUGCCUUAGCCAGCACGUGCGAUGCAGCCUGCUGACGAAACCAUGUAAUAGUAAAAAGUACCUCUAACCUAAAACCUAAUGAAAAUGAACUGUAUGAUGAUUUAGUACAACACCUAAUUAAGAAUACCACUUAAGAAUAGCGUUUAAGUCUUUUUGUAAUAAAAUUAAGUUAAGUAACUUAAGAUUCAUAUAAAAAUAAAAUAAGGUCCAGGUCUGACAACCUCACACCCUCGUUGUCACACUUGAUUUUUGUUUCGUGGUGGCCUAGCGGGUAAAGAACCGACUUCUCAAGUGAGAGCGUGAGUUCGAUUCCAGGUCAGGCAAGUACCAAUGCAACUUUUCUAAGUUUGUAUGUACUUUCUAAGUAUAUCUUGGACACCACUUACCGUGUUUCGGAUAGCACGUUAAACUGUAGGUCCCGGCUGUCAUUGAACAUCUUUGGCAGUCGUUAUGUUGUCGUUAGCAUAUAACGAUGUAUAAUUGUAGCAAUAGAUUUUUGGACUGCACAUGAAGUCCACGGUGAGUAUUCGAUGACAAGCGAAGAUAACAUCUUUUUCACUAAUGAGUUGUCAUAAGCAACAGCUCUUCAAGUGUAAAAGACCCGGCUGUCUCAGGCCCGGCUCGCAAAUGUAUGUGAAAGUCACUUUCACACUACAUUUGAAUUGUACGAUGUGCAUGCGAAAAGGCCUAACGCUACAUCUUUGACAGUCGAAACGCCCAUCUAGGUGUCUCAGUCUCAUCAAGGCUUGCAGGUCACUCAGACUUCGCGUCUGACGUUGCCACUAGCCUAACCAGAGAUUGGGCUAAGAUGAGGCGUAAACUUUUCGAUCAAAUUUCCAUUUAGUAUAUGUUGUCUAGUAACGUAAUGUUACUUAGAACAAUACUAAAUACUGUCUUUCCUUAAAUUGAGUAACUCAGGUUACUUAAAAUUAGGCUGUCGGAAGUAACAUCGUAGACGGUCAUUACGAGAUCCUCGUCUAGGUGUCUAAGUCUCAUCAAGGUUUUGUAGGUUACUCAGUCUUCGCGUCUUAUAUUACCACUAACCAGAGACUGGACUAGGAUGAGGUGUUAGCGUACCGGUAAAAUAAUAUUUAUUUAGUAAAUGUUGUUUAGUAACGUAAUGUUACUUAGAGCAAUUACUAAAUGUCGGUUUUAAUUGCAUGCCUUGGACAGCUUAUCAAGUGACUUAAAAUCCCGGCUGUUGGAAGAAACAUCGUCGGCAGUCGAUACGAGUUACCACAAACUCCAAAUUUUCGUGCACGCACGCCUCGUUGGUCUAUUUGUACCAUAGCGCGACUGCUCGAUGCACGAGGUCUCGGGUUCGAGUCCCGGGACGGGCCGAUAUUGCUAUGUCGGUCCUGCACCUGAUCUCUCUCCGGCCUUGUAGGAUUUCCGUCUCACCGGGCUUUGAGAGUGAAGGAAUAGAGAGUGCACCUGUGUCUGCGCAAACGCUUGUGCACUAUAAUAUGUCCUGCGCAGCUGGCAGUAUAUCCGCCGUGCCGAAAAAUGUCUGUAGGGAUAUGACGAAGUAUGUUUUUCGUAAUUUAUAUCACAAUGCGUAUUUAUUUUAUAUUCUAUUUCCUCAUUUUUGUCAUUGUAAUUGAAAUAAAAUGUCCGUCACUUCGUCAGUGGUUGGUAAGAUUCAGAAGUACUUAUGUCAAAUUCUAAAACACCCCAAACAUUUUGAGAAUAAAAUUAUUGUUUUAAAAAAGAAAACAAAAACUUUGAUUGUAAUAAAAUUAGAAGUUCAAACAAUUCUGUUUCUAUCAUCUCGUUUGAAAAAGAAAUAAUAUAUCAUGUGUAUGUACCUAUAUACGUAUUUAUUAUAUACCUAUUUAUUAUAUUUACCUAUCAGUAUGUAAAAUAAAAAAAUCUAUAUGUUUUUUUAUGUAAAAGUUCGUUUAUACCACUAUUUUGGGCGUUACCAAUUUUGUUCUAUAUAUAAGUUAUAUUCAUUUUGAAUUCCUAUUCCUUAACAGUUUGUAUGAUUGUAUGUUCUAAAGGUAAAUAGCCCAUUUAAUUACUCUAAUUUAAAUGUUGAAAAAACAUGUUUUUGUAUAUUAUUUACCUGUGUUGUAUAAUUUCCGCCAAACUUUUUAUCGUCUCGGAAUGAGUCGCAGAAAUCAAUUUUGAGAGAGGCUAUUACAUGCCCAUGCGCAUGCAUGGGCAUGUAAUUACUCACAUAGACCGAAAGUUAGUAGUGGACCGACAUUAAGUUUGGCGAUAACCGUGUUUAUCUUUUCGAGCUCCACUAUUGUAUUAAAUAUGUAUUAAAUAAAAAAUAUAUAUUCAA